CAAAUACUCCCUCCUUCCGAAAAUACUUGUCAUCAAAAUGGAUAAAAGGAAAUGUAUCUAGACGUAUUUUAAUUUUAGAUACAUCUCUUUUUAUCCAUUUUGAUGACAAGUAUUUUCGGACGGAGGGAGUAGAAA
rnacentral:pre_miRNA from 1 species